rnacentral:lncRNA from 1 species
UUGAUUUUAGUUUCUUCAUAUCAUAAUUCACGAUUAUCCGUCACGCAUUCUUCUGAUCUUGUCUUGCCACCAUUCUUCUCAUUGUCAGAUUCAUAACAAAGAGAAAGAGAUGAGAUGAAAGGUUUAUGUGAAAAGGGUUAGGCUGAUUGGUCUGUUCAAGAUCUCCAGGACUAAUCUCGAUGAAACAGUGUUGUGUAUGGUUGCGGGAAUCUCAGAUUCUGUUCUUCAUCUUCCUUAAACUUAGGGCUUUUCGGAGACCCUGAGAAGAAGAAAAGGCCAUGGGGAGAUGACGACAGUAGUGUGAGGAAUUGGGGGAAAGAUGAUCUUUCUGGAAAAAAAUAUUUUUCUUUCACGUUUUCUUUUUUCUUGUUUGUGUGUGGAAAGAUGAUGACUGUGAUUCAUCUUCUUCAUUUUAUAGUUUUUUUUUAAUUUGCAGUUGUUACACAUCUCAGUGCUUCAGCAAAUUUUUUUAUUUUAAUGCUAUACGGG